CCACACGUAGUCAUCGGGUCUUUAGAGCUCGGAUAUAGUACGAGCACGAAGCUUACGGACAUUAAUCAGUGAUAAUAUUCUCGCAUAAAGCCUGCGGGGUUUUAACCCGGAUAUAGUGCUGACACAAAUGCCCUUCGGGACUUAUCACAUUUAUACACUUUCACAUCCAUCACGUUGGCCACUCGGCCCUGUCACAUAUAUACACUUUCACAUUCAUCACAUCGGCCAUUAGGCCUUAUCACAUAUAUACACUUU
rnacentral:lncRNA from 1 species